GGCAUGACCUGGGGCUGCCUCAGGUAAGCUGGGAGGCAUGGUUACCUACCCUUAAGGCAAAAGGCCUCCAUUCGUGUAAAGAUGGAAGAGAAGUUCCUCCUUUUAUCCACUCUCUUGUACUUUGUGGGGUAGCUGAAGAUUAAGUGACUGACUGAUGGAAUCUAAAGCAUAUUCCUGUGUGAGAAUAACUACAAAAUAAGCACUUUAUAGCAUAUGAAGACCAUAAUUACAUCUCCUGAGAUUUAUAGUGUAUGAAGCAGACUCUGAAUGGCAUCAAGUCCUGGGACCAUAAAAUAGUAGAAGAACUGCUGUGAGAAUUAAUAGCUUCUCAGCCCUAAGUUCUCGGCUCACUGAACAUACCAUCUGUAG